ACAAUUCCAUUGUUUGAGGACAAAACCAGAACAACCCUUCGGGCUUUCUUCAGCAUGAAGGAGCAGCUGGUAUGGACAACUGCUCCCUCAGAACACUUUCCCUUUGGGAAACAUUACUAAAGAUCUUUUUCAUCUUUCAAAUGUCUUCAUUUCAGAAUUUCUAAUUUCCCUGACAAAUUACCCUUGUCCUCAGGAGCCUUUGAACACCAAUGACCAGAACUGCAUCUUGAAUGACUUCAGGUUCCUGAAUGAGAUCUCAGCUGCCCUCUCUACACUAAGAAUUGCCAUUGGGUUUAUGCAGCUGUCAUUUCCUCCUGCAGAGGAGUACCUUGUGCACUACCUGAGUAAAGAGCUGAAGCUCGAGGAUAGAACACAUACCCUGAGCUUACCGGUAUACCUAUUCUCCUAUUUUUUUCCUGUUAGCCUAGCCACCAAAAUAUCUUCCCAUUAACAUGUAAUUUCAGAGAAAUCAAUGUUUUAGUUUGUACAUUUGUUUCCUCCAAAACACUGUUAAUAGGACACAUUGCCCAGCUAGCUUGUUUGGGUUUUGUCAUGAUCCUGAGUGCCAUAGACCUGACUGGGAACUCAAAAGAAUUUCUUAAAUCAAAUCUCCAUCUGUGCAACAUUGCAUUUUUGACUCCAUUGUAGUAGUCAUAUUACAUUGACAUCACUCCUUCUCGAAUUUGAAUGUGUGACAUGUUCUCUUAAGGUUUGUAUCUGACUAGAGAGUUUUUGCAUGGGGUUUACAGGUGCUGAGAACCAGCAGGGUGAAGCACAUCCAGUCUCUCUGGGAGGUGCUUUCUCUGAGGCAGUCCUCCCUGCUCAUUGAGAUGAACCAGAAUCCGUUCUUCAUGAUCGAGAAAGGUUUUCAUGAGUCGUUUUCUGAGGAGCAGAAGAAGGAAAUCACCCCCAAACUGGCCAACCUCACCAAACUGGACCUCUUCGUUACAGAGCUGCACUACGUCAUCAUGAACAUUCAUUUGAAUGGCGUCAAGCACGACUGGAGUGUCCAAGAGACGUGUGAUGGCUUUGCGGAAAGGGGUGAGAUUGACGAGAGAGUAUUGGAGAGUGUGGAGACUCUGAAGUUGGAGAUGGAGCUGGAGAUGAAGAACAGCAUUGCUCUUUGGAAAAUGGCUGUUCAGAUGAAGAGGAGCUUGUCAGGAUGAUACCAGACAGACAAGCCUCAUUACAAAACUACUUUGCUUUUUCAUUUUCAUUUAACCUUUUAAAUCACGAGCAUAUAUUACAGUUAUCCAUUAAUAAUGACGCUAUAACAGAUAGACUCUUUAGUUCAGUUUAACUUCUUUGUUUCUGACUUUGGUAAUUAAAAAUCUAUACUAUCUAUACAAUCUGUAGAUUUGAAAGACAACCCUGUUAGUAAGACAUGUUUAUUUGAGUGUUUGUUAGUGAACAAUUGUGUGGGUUUUCAAAUGCUUUUCUUUCCCAUGUCAAUGCUACUUUACAUCAUGCAGUAUGUGUGAUCUUCCAUGAUAAUGAUAUAAAUUUGAUGUAAAAACCAGAUGUGUGUUCAAGAUUAAGCAACCUGGAUGGAUAGAUGGAUGCACUGAAGUAGAUAUGGUCUUACAUAUUGUGCUCAGUGUUCUGUGAAGUUUGUUUUCUAUUCCGGGUUCCACCUUUUGUUCUUUUCCUCACAUUUGCAUGAAAUAUAAUCACUGGAAGCCCAGGUAUCCGACACCAAAGAGAAGAACCUUUGCGUGGAUAGAAUACUUUUCAUUAAUCAAGAUAGUGGCUUUGAUUUGAUUGGGUGAAUCAGUAUUGAAUCUGUUAUACUGCCAUGACUAAUAAACUGAUUAAAGUAUUUGUAUCCUUCA
rnacentral:lncRNA from 1 species